rnacentral:rRNA from 1 species
GAGCGGAAAGGCCCUUUCGGGGGUACUCGAGCGGCGAACGGGUGAGUAACACGUGAGUAAUCUGCCCUUGGCUUCGGGAUAGCCACCGGAAACGGUGAUUAAUACCGGAUACGACACAUCACUGCAUGGUGCGUGUGUGGAAAGUUUUUUCGGCCAGGGAUGUGCUCGCGGCCUAUCAGCUUGUUGGUGGGGUAAUGGCCUACCAAGGCUUCGACGGGUAGCCGGCCUGAGAGGGUGACCGGCCACACUGGGACUGAGACACGGCCCAGACUCCUACGGGAGGCAGCAGUGGGGAAUAUUGGACAAUGGGCGGAAGCCUGAUCCAGCAACGCCGCGUGAGGGAUGACGGCCUUCGGGUUGUAAACCUCUUUCAGCACAGACGAAGCGCAAGUGACGGUAUGUGCAGAAGAAGGACCGGCCAACUACGUGCCAGCAGCCGCGGUAAUACGUAGGGUCCGAGCGUUGUCCGGAAUUAUUCGGGCGUAAACGGGCUCGUAGGCGGUUUGUCGCGUCGGGAGUGAAACGCCGGGCUUAACUCGGUGCUUGCUUUCGAUACGGGCAGACUAGAGGUAUUCCAGGGGAGAACGGAAUUCCUGGUGUAGCGGUGAAAUGCGCAGAU